AUGGCCGAUCUCCUGUACCAAUCCUUCCUACUCUUGGGCCUCGCCGUGGUGCUACUCCGGAUCCUUAAACUCUCUCUCCAGCCGAAGGUGAGGAACCCGCCGGGCCCAUGGAAGCUGCCUGUCAUCGGCAGCAUGCACCACCUCUUGAACGUGCUCCCGCACCGCGCCCUGAGGGACCUGGCCGGCGUACACGGCCCGCUCAUGAUGCUCCAGCUCGGGACCCCUCUCGUCGUCGUGUCGUCGAGGGAGAUGGCUCGCGAGGUGCUCAGGACGCACGACGCCAACUUCGCCACCCGCCCCAGGCUCCUCGCUGGUGAGACCCUGAUGUACGGCUGUUCCGACAUCCUUUUCUCACCGUCCGGCACCUACUGGCGCAAGCUCCGGCAGCUCUGCGCCGCCGAGAUACUGAGCGCGAACCGUGUCCGUUCCUUCAGGCACAUUAGGGAGCAAGAGGUGAGAAAUCAUGUAGAAAACAUUCAUGCCGCAGGGCCAUCUACGCCGGUGGACGUCACCAUGACUUUCUUCAACCUAACGAUAAAAAAAAGCAUCGUCUCCCGCGCAUCCUUCGGGAACAAGCAUAGAAACGUCCAAGAGUUCCUAUCGGCGAUAAAAUCCGGUGUCGCACUAGCCGGCGGCUUCAAGAUCCCCGAUCUCUUCCCGACAUGGCGGUCCGUGCUGGCCAAGGUGACCGGCAUGCGCCGCACCUUGGAGGAUGUCCACAUGACGUUGGACUCCACCUUAGAGGGGGUCAUAGAAGAGAGGGAAGGCAUCCGGAAGGACAGGGUCAAAUCCGGUGCAUCGUCGGACGUCGAGGAGAACCUGGUGGAUGUUCUCAUCGGACUGCAAGAGAAAGGUGGCAUCGGUUUCCACCUUAACACAAACAGCAUCAAGGGCGUCAUACUUGACAUGUUCGUGGCUGGAACUGGCACGUUGGCGUCAUCACUGGAUUGGGGUAUGUCUGAGCUCAUGCGGAACCCAAGGGUGAUGGACAAGCUGCAGCGCGAGAUCCGAGUGGCGUUCCGUGGCAGGGCGACCAUCAAUGAAGGCGACAUCGAGGCCAGCGAGCUCCCAUACCUGAAGCUUUUCAUCAAGGAGAACCUCCGGCUACACCCGCCAGCGCCACUCCUGGUGCCCCGGGAGUGCGUCGAGGCCUGUGAGGUCGACGGAUACCUGAUUCCCGCGGGUUCGCGCCUUGUCGUAGAUGCAUGGGCUAUUGGGAGAGAUCCAAGGUAUUGGGAGGACGCUGAAGAAUUCAAGCCCGAGCGGUUUGAGGAUAGCUCCGUCGAUUUCACAGGGAGCAACUACGAGUUUCUGCCGUUUGGGGCUGGACGGAGGAUGUGCCCGGGCAUCUCCUACGGGCUCCCCGUCUUGCAAAUGGCGCUUGUUCAACUCUGCUACCACUUUGACUGGUCCCUGCCUGAGGGCGUCACCGAGGUGGACAGGACGGACGGGGGUGGCCUCGGUCUGCGCCGCAAGUCGCCUCUCCGGCUCUGUGCCAAGUCGUUUGUCCCCGAGUCAGUGUAUGAAGCAUAA
rnacentral:rRNA from 1 species